rnacentral:lncRNA from 1 species
GCAGAGAACUCUCAAAAUUCAAAAGCUAUGUAAAUCCAACAGAAUUGCGAAGAUCCUCCAUUAAUAUCCUGCUUUCUUUGUUGCCCCUCCCUCAUCAUUUUGGCACAGUCAAAUCUGAGGUGGUCCUGGAAGGAAAGUUUAGUAACGAUGACAGCUCUUCUUAUGAUAAACCAAUAACUUUUCUGUCCCUGAAGUUGAGACUUGUGAAUAUAUUAAUAGGUGCCUUGCAAACUGAAACGGACCCCAACAACACCCAAAUGAUAUUAGGGGCAAUGUUAAAUAUUGUUCAAGAUUCAGCACUUUUGGAAGCCAUUGGUUGCCAGAUGGAGAUGGU